CACCGGCGGCUCGAGUGGUGGCCACUUUUAUAGGGUCUAAAGCGUCCGUAGCCGGCUUGGCAAGUCCCCUGGGAAAUCUGGCGGCUUAACCGUCAGGCGUCCAGAGGAUACUGCCAGGCUUGGGACCGGGAGAGGUGAGAGGUACCUCAGGGGUAGGGGUGAAAUCUUGUGAUCCCUGAGGGACCACCAGUGGCGAAGGCGUCUCACUAGAACGGGUCCGACGGUCAGGGACGAAAGCUGGGGGCACGAACCGG
rnacentral:rRNA from 1 species